SUUGAAGCAGAAGAAAAUAUAUAGUAAUCCUUUUAUAUCAAACAAUCAUUGAAGAUUAUCUAGUCCAAGGACUAUCAUAUUUGCUUCAUGUUUGCUGAAGGCUGCUGAAGAUCUUUUAGGUGUUUCAGUCUGUGGAAAAGGCAGGAGUGCAGCUCUUUGCCUGAGUUUUGUCUUCAUUACACCUUCAUUACUCCCUUUUACAGAAUCAGAAUGAUGAAGAGGAACCAGCAGAAAAUCCAUGUUCAGGUAAGGAUCUCUUGUAGUUAGCGAUAUGAGCAGAUGUGGCAUUAUAAAUGUGGCUGAUUUUGACAAUAGUUGCUUUAGUGCCAUUAUAGAAUGAUUAUUUACUGAUAUUUAAAAGUCUGCUCUCUUAAUUGCUCUUGUCUUGAGAACAUACUGUUGCUUUCUGGAA
rnacentral:lncRNA from 1 species